rnacentral:lncRNA from 1 species
CAUGAUGAACAUCUACAUUUUCCAGAGCAGGUCCAAAAUCUUGGGUCAUGUUUACGGCACAAGCAUGUGCACAUGUUAAAACAAAGGAUUUUGCUUCUUUCAGCACCUCUUCCUUCAGAGAUGAGUGGAAACAGAUACAGCUCCAAAGGACUAAGGAAGCAGCAAUUUCUCAAGUAACCUCCUCUGCCUCCCUUCUUCUCACUAUGGGGCCACCUUGCCCUUAGGAAUUCAGGAUAGGUGUCAAUUUGUGGCACUCUAGCUGGAAGACCACCAAUUGAUCAAGUUCUAGGCAUCAGUGAAUGUGGACUCAAGAAUUUCAUCCUUACCUUAUGGGAUAUCAACUUGAAUCAAGUAUAAAUGAUAGCCAUUACAAUCCUAAGGAGGAGUAAAGCUGAUGUAAAAAGAAGCACCUAUCUUGGACUCCACUGUGAUUGAUGAGCUAGAAAAAAAUACUGAACCACAGACUUCAAGAUGGAUUAUCAGACACAAAUAUUCCAGAGCCAGGUAAGGAAACCACCAUCCUCAAACCUUGCAAAAAGCAAAAACUAUGCCAUAGUGUCCCGGACAAGUUAGCUGAUUUACUGUAUGUUACCGGUGUGAGUGAAGCGGAUGUCUCCAAAUAGCCUGAUCAAUUAUGCCAACUAAAGGGCAAAAGUAGUGUUUCUUGAAACGGUAGAUGUGAAAAACAUUGAUUAGACAGUUUAGCAAUAGUUUUCAGGAUGACUUACAGGUGGGCAUUUGGUCUCUCUUGUUUCACUCUCUUUCCCUUGCUUUCUCUCUCUCUUCCACAAGCAGUUUAGAAUUUAUUCUAAGAAUCUAACUUUGCUGGGGAUCAAAUGGGAAACAGCUUCAGUGAUGAGUUUGUUGGAAUGCUCUCCCCAAAUUUUUAUUUCCGUCACUCUUAUACACAAAUCCAAGAACCUGUCAGACUAGUGUACUGACAGUGUGCCUUUCCUCAGUAAAUCAGUAUUAUCAAGGUCCAUCAUGGGCGUUUUGUAGAAUGGUAGAUCCUGGCAGAACCUCACAGAUGCUUUGAAGACAACCUUUACCUUCGAAUGAUGAACCAUACACAUAUUAAGGAUCUCAACCAUUUCUCAGUGAUCCGUGUUAUGUUACAACAUCACAGCAGCCAUUCUUAUUGAUCACGACUAUAUGGGAUCAGUAAAAUAGUUUCUGUCACAAUAGUUCUUAUGAUAAGCAAAUACUGUAGCAAAUACUAUAUUAGUACAAUAAUUUAGAUGCACUCUUCACAGUAGAUCCCAACUUCACAUUAGUUUCCAAUUUCACAUUAUUCACUGAGGAACAUAAUCCCCAGUAGAGCCAUAUCAUCUUUAUCAUUCCCACUUUCCAGCCCCUACAUCACACCCACAUAUGCUACAUUUGUAUCUCCUAUACAGAACCAGAUUAAUUCUUGAUUUAAAGAUUACAGAAAAACACUAAUUGACCAAAAAAACCCUCAUGCACGUGUAUAUAUCAUUUAAAAUUAUAUUUAUACAUUGUACAUGAAUAUUGAGAAUCCUAGUAGGCAAUGUCAGAGUUUACUUUUUAUCAAAAUUGCUGCAGCCUUAUUGUUUCUGAAAACCACAAAAUGAAUGUAUUCACCUAAUUUUUAAAAAUCAGAUAAUUUACAACAUACAGAAGGGGGAAAAGGAAGUGUCAUUGCUCUCCUCUUCCCAAACAACAUACCUCUGUAAGCCCAGGAGAUAACUACUGAGUAAAACUUGUUGUAUUUCUUUCAGGAAUUAUCCUGUAUUUAUAUCCAUAUAUAUCCAUUAAAAUGGAGUCAAUAUCACACAAAAACAUAUCAUUCCAUGGCCUGUAUUUUCACAAACACCUUCCUUGUGACUAUAUAGAAACCGACCUCAUCCUCUUAUUGGUUGCUUAGUGCACCACUGCAAAGUUCUAUCAUAAUCCAUUUAACCAAAUUCCUAUUGGUGAAAAUUUCAGUUAUUUUCCAUUUCUUCAACUUCUAAACAUUUCAAUGAUCAGUCUUGUAUAUACAUUUGAGCACAGUCAUCUACUCAUUUCCAUCCCUAGGACAGUCUAAGGAGAUCCCUUUUCCUUCUCCCACCCCAAUGUCAUCGGCCAUCCAUGCUGCUUCCAUUGGGUGUUUCUACUCCCAGGGCCAAUUAAGUGCAUGAGCUCCCAGCGCUGCCACUCACUAUUAGGGUGAAGUUACUUAACAUCUCUGAACUCAAUUUUCCUCAUCUAUAGAACAGGGAUAAUAUCAGUUUCUUGUUCCUAGAUUCUGGGGAAUAAUUAAAUGUGGAUGAUUCAUGUAAAAUGUCUGACACUUUGUAAGUGCUCAAUAAAUGUCAAGUAAUAUGGCUAGUAUUGCUUGUAUCUCUGCAGAGAAAAAUCACUCUGUCCUCUUUAGGAUCUAUGUUGACUAUGUCCUCAGUCAACCAUUUUGCACACUAAAUGUCCACUGGCCAGUUUCUCUCUUCUGUCUACCUCCAUGAUUCCUCUCUUUCCUCAUCUUCUGGUGAGAUCCACUGCUGAUUUUGCUAUUAAAGACAAUGGCAAAGCUCUUGCUGACAGAAUCAAGGAAACCUACCCCUACCUUUCAGAAUUACAGUUACAAUUUCUCUUAUGAAACUUACAAUCUCUUUAAUUUUUUUUUAACAUUUAUUUAUUUUUGAGAGACAGAGACAGAGUGUGAGAGAGGGUGGGGGAGGGGUAGAGAAAGAAGAAGAUACAGAAUCUGAAGCAGGCUCCGGGGGCUCUGAGCUGUCAGCAUAGAGCCUGAUGUGGGGCUGGAACUCAUGAAACAUGGGAUCAGGACCUGAGCCAAAAUUGGACACUUAACUGACUGAGCCAGCCGGGAGCUCCAAAUAUUUUCUUUUUUUUUUUUUUUUUUNNNNNNNNNNNNNNNNNNNNNNNNNNNNNNNNNNNNNNNNNCAGCACAGAGCCCCACGUGGGGCUCGAACCCAUGAACCUUGAGAUCAUGACCUGAGCUAAAGUCAGACGCUUAACCAACUGAGCCACCCAGGUGCCCCUGAAACACACUAUUUCAGUGGUUAGUAUUAGUCUUUGGUUUAUUAUAAUUUAUUAGCUCUGGUUCAUUAUUGAUUUUCAACUCUUCAUUGUGGAAUGUCUUUUUUUUUUUUCAUUCAUUCAUUCUGCAAAUGUUUGUUGAACAUUUGCCAAGUGAAGGUACUAGACUGGGCCUUCCAAAUACAAGACAAUGAAACAUCAAACAAUUUACAAUCCAGUAGGGUAGAAAGAAUCUGACAGCAGAUAAGAACAACUAGGUGUUCUAGAUCUGUCUCUGUACUCUGCAAAGCAGAGUCACUUGGCUGGGGGAUAAUCCAAGAGAAGGUCUCUCUUGAACUGAGUUUUGAAAAAAUUCAUUGGGCUCUGCACUGACAGUACAGAGCCUGCUUGGAAUUCUCUCUCUCCCUCUCUCUCUGCCCCUCCCUCACGCUGUCUCUCAAAAUGACACACACACACACACACACACACACACACACACACACACACACACACUUUGAUGGGGUUACCACGGAAACACCAUGGCAUGGCACGAUUCCCCAGCAGCUCCAAAGACAUUCUGUACAUGGUUCAUCUCAUUAAACAUGGUGGGUACCCCUCUGACAACAGAUGAUCAACUAAGUAAAGUCUACUUUCUACUCUAUUGAUCUUUGAUCUUUGUUUUGGGCUCAGAUGUCCUCCACAGCUUGAUGCCAAAAUAUGUUUCAAAGUAAAACAUGGGCCUUGAUCUGAUCUGAUAUACAUUUAGUCUACCUUUUUUGAAACAUCAUGGCAAAGGGGAGGUCAAAUACGAAGACACUCUUUAAUUAUCCUUAACUGAGAGAAACUAGAAUCCCAUAAUUAUACUGAAUGAGGUUUAUCAUUUGCAAAAGCCCCCUGCCCCAGGAGAAGGUAUAAAAGAGUGAAAAUUUUAAAACUUAUUUGUUUUCUUUGUCAUUUCCAUUCAGCCUACCUUCAAAUAAAUACAUAGGCAGUCCAGAUAGGGUAGAUGGCUAAAGAAAGGGAUCAUCAGCCCGUAGACAUAAAUAUAUCCUCUUCCAAGAUGUUAGAUCUUACCUAAAAAACAUUCUCUAUCAGGGAAGCCCUGAGGGUUCGACACCUGCUGGAAAACAGAGUAAAGCUUCAGCAGCUGACCCAGGGCCUCUGGUCCCCUUCAGUGAGAAGGGUUUUUGUACAUUGACACAAUGGAGAGCUAUCACUGUGGUGGACGUUUGGCCAAGGAACCAAGCUGGAAAUCAAACGUGAGUAAAACCCAAACCUUCCUUCUUCAGUUGUUUGUGUCUUGUGAUUCCCGGGUCUAUGAAGCGAUCUGUAUAAGCUGACGUUUUGCAACCAGGAUCUGACAUCCUCUAAGGCAAAGAUAAAGUCUAUAAACAAACUCAAAAGUGGAUUACACAUUUUCUGUGAGGAACGGGAUUCAGUCAUUGGGUGAGAAUAACUUGUCUAAGUGAUAGUUUCAGAAAUCUAUGGGGGAGCAUAAUUAUAUGUUCUACACAGAGCCUUGCUCAGUUGUCAGAAAAGGAAAUUCAGUUUUCGUAUAGGAAGGAGAUUAGGAGGAACUACUGUGUGUACAAUUUCGGCCAGGGGACGAAGCUGGAGAUAAAACGUAAGUAUUUUUUUCAACUAAUUCUUCACUGUUUUUGUCUAAUUGGUUUGCUUUUUCUCCCCCUGCCCCCCUGCCUUUUCACGUGUUCUAAUUAAUUACAUGUCAGGGAUAAAACAAAUCUCAUUCCCAGACCAGGUACAGAGGAGGGAAAAUCAUUCCACUGGAGGCUAGCUGACUGCUGAUUUUUAAGAUUUCCAAAUCAAAAUAGGGUCACUGGGGAGAGAGACUACCGUUUCAGGGUGGGUUUUCAUAGAGGUGGAGGUUAAGGGAAAUCACUGUGGUUCACUUUCGGCCAGGGGACCAAACUGGAGAUGAAACGUAAGUACCUUUUUGUUCAAUUAUGUGUGAGGUUUUCGUCCUGUUGUAAUAUUUGUUCAAGUUUGUGACAUUUUGGUAAAAUGAGCCACUCCUGGUGCCCCAAAAGAAAAGAGCAGAAAAUGAGAAAAUAGCCAACUUUUCAGCUAAGCAAACAAAUCGUUGAGUUUGUGAUGAGAGUAGGCUUUGUGGGGAGAAGGGGAAAGACAGCUGGAUUUUUCUCGGAAUUGGACUUUCUUAUAUGAUCAGCGUCAGAAGGAGGUUUUUGUUGAGGGCUAAAGUGUCAAAGCCCUCAGUGUGGCUCACUUUCGGCCCAGGUACCAAGCUGGAGAUCAAACAUGAGUACACUUUUCUAGUCCUUUUUCUGGUAGCGUUGUGAAAUUUGGGGGUUUUCAUGUGUGGAGUGUGAGUUGAGGUCAAUUCUGAAGAGCACGGGAUUCUUCUGAAAAUCAGAUGAGUAAGGGACUGAAAAUCAAUUUGUCUCAAGGAAGAGCAAAGAGACAGUUAGUUGACAUGGCAUCUAAAUUGCCAGAUUUUCUCUGUAUCCAUCAAUCUAAUGAGCUUAGCAGCAAAAAGAGGUUUUUGUUGAGGGAAAAGUAAUCAAGUUAAUACAGUGGACCACCUUUGGCCAAGGGACACAUCUGGAGAUUAAACGUAAGUAAUUUUUCUCUGUUGCCUGUUGAAAUUUGGGUCUAAAUAUCAGUGAUGACUUUCAGAGACUGAAGUAUGAAUUUUGUGCAGACGGGUACAUGAGACCAUUUCAGAUGUGUCUUCAAUUUCAAAAGUUAAACUCAGCUCCAAAAAUGGAUUUCUAGACAAAAAGAUUAAUUUAAUCUAAAUUUCACUGUUCAAAAGGAAAAAAAAAAUUAGUGUAGAUGAAAAGGAAUCUUUGAAGCUCGAGAGAAAAAGUGAACUAAUUUUCGCUGAGUUUUACCAGAUGUUAUAGCGAGUUUUGCUUGUUCUGUGUGAUACAGAAAUUUAUUUCUUAGUCUGUUUUCUCUCCUGAUAAAUAAUUUUAUAAGAUAACAAUUAAAAUCCAUAGAAUGCAUGAAAAAUUGGUAAGAAGUUAGAAAAGCAUAGUUGUUUGCCAUGUAAAACCUGCAGCUUAAUUGAGAAUCAGCUGCAAUGCUAUCUUUGGAGCCUAAGACGAGUGAUAAACUGUUAAUAUUCAAAAAUUCUACAGAAGUUCUAUAUCCUGAUAGCUACCUUCUUUGUAAAAAUCCAAUUUCUAUAUUAGACUAAACGUGAGAUGAUUUCUUAUUGUAAUGGUGAAAAGAUGGUUAUCGCGAAAAUCUCAGUUUUGAAAACAUUCGUUUAAAUUAAGUAAAAUAAAAUAAUUGCAUGUUUGAAUGCCCAUGGACUUGUAGAAAAAUAGUAAAUAUUUUAGUGAGUGUGUUCUUUUCUUUCCCUCCGUUAUUACUUGGCCACUUUAUAUCGUCAAGGAAGCCAUGGCACAUCUUGCGUGGUCUAUAGACCUCAUGGCGGUCUUUUGUCAUGACUGAAUAACUUUCGUGAUCAGGCCACAGCACUCGUGUGGCAGUGCGCCUAGCCACUAAAGGCCACGGCCAUUCCACGUUUGUUCGCCUGUUCAACUCUACUGUGGUGGCUCUCCCGACACAGUGAUACGAAUAAUGGCACUAACGAAAAAGAAUAGAAAUGUAGUGGGCACUGAGCUAACAUAGAAGAAACAGGGAGAAGUCUGAUUUAUUAGAAAUUUCAGAAAUAAAAUUCAGUCAUUGUUAUAUGAAAAUUUCCAUUAGAGGACUAUAAAAAAGUUACAGCUACUUUUGUUUUCAGUGACAUGUAAUGAUUUCAAUAUCCUCUCAUCAAAUAUAUUUAAAUAAUAAAAGUACAAUCCUAAAGAAAGAAAUAUAUAUCAUUCUUUCCGAGUAAAAUCCUUACCAGCAAAAACUGAAUUUAAGGCCAUCUGGCCAUUCCAGUUUUAAUCAAUUAACUUUUACUGAGUUCACAUUAAAUACCAUCAGAUAAAAAAAUAAAUUUGUGACAUGUUUUUAAUUUUCAAAAAAUUAAUGGCUUGGGAAGGACUAUUUUUCAGUUGUAUGAAAUAUCAAAUCAUAGACAAAUGCCAUUAAUAAAAACUUGAUAUAAAUAUAUUUUCCAAUACUUUCAUUCUGUGGUAGAAGAUUUUUAAUCUGAGUAUUUUAAUUCCAUACCCUCUAAAAUAGUUUAAUUUUUUGUUGUUUACUUCAGCUGAUUUCAAAAUGAUGCUUAUGAAAGAUUAUUUUUGGUCUGCAACAGUUUUAUAGGACUAUUUUAGAGCUGUUUUAAAACUCUGAGAACUAUUUUAGAACUAUUUAAACUAUGUAGCUUUUUAAAACUAUUUUAGGGCCUUUUAAAAACCUGUUUUAGAAGUUUGAACUCCAUUAAAAGCUAAUAAAAUGUCUUGUAAGACUUUCCAUAUCAAUGUGCUAAUCGUUUAAUAUUUGAAUGCAGGAUGGAUAUUUUAAAGGCAUCAAGGAGUCUUUCUAGAAUACUUCCCUUCCUUUUUUUCUAAAAUUCACACUAUUUUGCGGCCAAUGCUAUUUUAUAAAACUCUCAGAAAAAAAUUAGUAAUGAAGGUGAAAAGAGAAAAAAAAAAUCAAAACAUAGAAAGUUCAGUAUCUUACUUUGAAAUGCUUCGUUAAUGGAGGUUAGCUUUAUAAAAACCUGUUCACUUAUCUGCAGUCUUCUCCCAGCAAAGGAUUCUUGAUUUGUUAUUUUAGCCCUUGCUCUCUGACCAGACAGCUUGAAUGCCCACAGGGGGGGAUUUCCCAGACGCCAUCUGGCAGCUGCUCAUGGUCAGAACCGAAGCUAGCUAGUUCCUUGUAGGCAGGUGGCCAAAAUUACAGUUGACCCCCAUUGUCUGGUCUGUUAUCGCCCCAUAUCAUGACAGCUGUCAGACGAGGGCUCAGUCUUCCUUCAAGGCCUUUGUAAGGAGGUGGGAGAGUUGCUAGCCUGAUCACAGAAGGUAACAGGGCUGUGCCUCAGCCCAGGCACAGACUCGGGGCUCAAAGUCACUCUAUAGGGUGGGUCUGGCUCUAACACAUUCAAAGAAAACCCUGGAAGGAAAAAGCAGCCUGAUAUUGCCACACAGUUCUGGGAGAGGCACGGAGGAAUGAUCUCUGUAAGGGAGUCCAAGACCUGUUUUCUCUUCUAAACUUUGAGGGAGUCAGACUAAAUGGCCUUUGUUUCUUUGCCUACAGUACUGGGUGUAUGGCAGGGGGCAGGGAACACAGCUGAAGGAAAGAAGGUGAGGUCAGAAAAGCAAAAAAGCCCUUAAAAUGGCUGCAAAGAGUUCAAACAAAACAGUGUAAAACUUUCUUAAGAGAUAGGGGCUAGAGAAACACUCAAAAUCAUGGAGAUUAUAAAUCUGCUUCCUGGUCUCCCUCAUUGCUACACAGAAUAAAUUGCUCUGUCUCCCUUACGGGCUCCGGGAUUGCCCACAAACAAUAUGCCCAAAUGGAGAACUUCCCUGUUACUUAACAACCAUUCUCUGUGCUUCCUUCCUCAGGGAGUGAUGCUCAGCCAUCUGUCUUUCUCUUCCAACCAUCUCUGGACGAGUUACAUUCAGGAAGUGCCUCUAUCGUGUGCAUAUUGAAUGACUUCUACCCCAAAGAGGUCAACGUCAAGUGGAAAGUGGAUGGCGUUGUCCAAAACAAAGGCAUCCAGGAGAGCACCACAGAGCAGAACAGCAAGGACAGCACCUACAGCCUCAGCAGCACCCUGACGAUGUCCAGUACGGAAUACCAAAGUCAUGAAAAGUUCUCCUGCGAGGUCACUCACAAGAGCCUGGCCUCCACCCUCGUCAAGAGCUUCAACAGGAGCGAGUGUCAGAGAGAGUAGCCUAGCAGGCCUCAUCACCUGCGCCUCAGUCCCAGACUCUCUGUCUCCCUCCUCAGGCCUCCGGACCUUUCCCCAUCGGAGACCCACACCUAUUGCAGGCCCUUGUCCCCACCUUACUGCCUCCCCCUCUUUGGCUUUAAUCAUGCUAAU